rnacentral:lncRNA from 1 species
ACGAACACGAAGUGGCCAAUGAGAAUUGGUGCUGCAAGCGGCAGCGUUCUGGUGUUCUCUAUUUCUAUAUAAAGAAGAUACAUGCAGCUCUACAUGGUUACUAAAUCACGGCACGCUCGUGAUCGGCUCCUGCCAUCCCAGCACCCUGGGCCGUGCCGUGAAGGACGCGCGACAGCGCGGCGUACGCGAGCAAAAGACAGGCGAUCGCGCACUAAUCUACUUCCUAGAAAAUAGAAGAUGCUAUCCUGGGCUUACUAUAACAAUCUCCUCCUAAGCCCUGGAGUACAAUUACACAAGAUUUUUCAUGCCGAUUCCACCCCGAAGCUCCUGGAACCGGCUACGACCGAGCGCCUUCGUGAGGAUGUCGCCCAGCUGUAGUUCAGUGCCGACGAACUCGACGUCGAUCAGCUUCCUGUCGCAGCAUUCCCGGAUGAAGUGGAACUUCACGUCUAUAUGCUUACUCCGGUCAUGAUGCACAGGGUUUUUCAUCAAAGCGAUGGCGGACUUGUUGUCCACCUUGAGCCUAGGUGCGAGGGUCGCUCCUCCGACGAGCUCAGCCAGUAACCGCGCCAGCCAGGCUGCCUCGCACGCAGCCGCAGCGGCUGCGAUGUACUCUGCUUCGCAAGAAGACAGAGCAACCACCUUCUGUUUCGCCGAUUGCCAGGCAACCGGCCCUCCCGCUAGGAAGAAGAUGAGGCCGCUGGUGCUCUUCCGGUCAUUGACAUCACCGGCUAAGUCGCUGUCGGAGUAGCCCAGCAGCUUUGGAGUGCCUCCGUCCUUCUUUCCCGGGUGGUAGUGCAAGCCCCAGUGCAGCGUCCCCGCCACAUAACGAAGGACUCGCUUGACUGCAGCGAGGUGCUCUUGACGUGGUGCCUCCAUGAACCGGCUAAGGUACCCCACCGGAUACGCCAAGUCCGGCCUAGAGUUGCACAGGUACCUGAGGCUGCCGAUAAGACUGCGGUACUCCGUGGCAUCCACGCUCGGCGUCGUCCCUUCUUUGAGCAAUUUCAACUUCGGCUCCAUGGGUGUGGCGCUGGUAUUGCAGCCUCCCAGUCCCGCCUUCUCAAGGAUCUUGCCGGCGUAGGCAGACUGACGAAGCGUGAUCCCGGCUGCUCCCUGUGUCACCUCCAGGCCGAGGUAAUAUGAGAGAAGCCCGAGAUCACUCAUGCGGAAGGUGCUCAUCAUCUGGGCCUUGAACUUGUUCACAGCCCCUGCGUCGCCACCGGUGAUGAUUAAAUCAUCAACGUAGACGCCCACGAUCAGGCGCCCUGCGCCCUUCCCGCGAGUGUACAUCCCGUGCUCGUCGAUGCAGCGAGUGAAGCCGAGCCUGAUCAGCGAAGCAUCAAGCUUCUGAUUCCAGGCUCGUGGAGCCUGGCGGAGCCCGUACAGCGCCUUGUGAAGGCGAAGCACCUUGUGCUUGUUCUUGCCAUCGAUGAAGCCGGGGGGCUGUUGGACAUAGACCUCCUCCUGGAGCUCCCCGUUCAGGAACGCCGAUUUGACGUCCAUGUGGUGGACGCCCCAGCCGUAGUGCGCUGCAAUGGCGAGGAGCAGGCGCACUGAUUCCUGCCGCGCGACGGGGGCGAAGGCCUCUUCAUAGUCGAUGCCGGGCCGUUGCACGUACCCCUUCGCGACGAGACGAGCCUUGUACUUGACAAUGGCCCCAUUCUCGUCCCGCUUCACCUUAUACACCCAUUUGAGGCCGAUGGCGUGGUGGCCGCGCGGGAGCUCGGCAAGCACCCAAGUGUCGUUGUCGCGGAUCGACUUGAGCUCCUCCUCCAUUGCGGCGUUCCAGUUCGGAUCACCAUCGGCGUCCUUGAAGGACUUGGGUUCCUCCACACUGACAUUGUGCAGCUCAGCAUCCUCAAUGAUGCGUUGAGCCAGUCCGGGCACAGUAUUCGUGCCAAGGACGUUCUCAAGCGUUCUGUACCGGUGCUCCAGAUCCUUGUCGUCAUCUGCGUCGAGGUUGUGGUCAGUGGUGAGCGGUGUCACAAACUCGACCUGCACCCCCGUGGGGAUGCUGGGAGUUGCUGGUGACGAUGACACCGGCUGUGCCUCCGGCGUGGGCGGAGAUCCUGGAGUAGGCGGAGGUGAAGCAGCUGUCCUCGCGGUUGAUGCCGCUGAGGGCUCCCGCCUGAGCUCGUACUCAUACUCGACGGUGAACGGUUCCUGGUCGCCACUUGAUGACGCCUCGGUCCACUCCCAGCGCGCGCCUUCAUCGAAGACGGCGUCGCGUGAGACGUGGACACGAUCAGUGGUGGGGUCGAGGAAGCGGUACGCCUUCGAUCCACUCUCGUACCCGAUGAAGACAACCUUCUGGCCCCGGUCAUCGAGCUUGCUGGGAUGUGGACGGAGGUGCUUGAUGUAGGCGAUGCACCCGAACACUUUGAGGAAGUGCACGGGUGGCUUCUUGCCGUACCACGCCUGGUACGGGGUCAGGCCAUCGAGCGCGCUCGUCGGUGCUCGGUUGAGCAGGAACACGGCGGUGUGAACCGCCUCCCCCCAGAAGCGGCCAGGCAUGCCGCGGGCGCGCAGGAUGCUCCUGGCCGUGCCCACGAUCAUUUGGUUCCGGCGCUCGACGACGCCGUUUUGUUGAGGUGAGUACGGUGCCGAGUGAUGUCGCUGGAUGCCUUCACCUGCACAGUAUUCACCAAAUUCCACUGAGGUGAACUCACCACCAUUAUCGGUGCGAAGCACCUUCAGCUUCUUUCCACAUUCACGCUCGACGCGUGCCUGGAAAGCGAUGAUCGCCGCCGGUGCGUCUGCCUUGGAGCGCAGGAGGGUGAGCCACAUGAAGCGACUCAUGUCAUCCACCAGCAGCAGGAAGUAGAGGUUGCCAGCUGGAGUUGGUGGCGAGAUGGGGCCGCACAAGUCUCCAUGUACGAGCUCAAGCUCCUCCUGAGCUCGGUACUUGGCUGCCCGGGGGAACGGCGUGCGCUUCUGCUUCGCCAGAAUGCAGUCCUCGCAGAUUUGAUCCACGUGAUCAAUCACGGGCAGCCCACGCACCAUGUCGCCGCGCCCAAGCUUGCGGAGCGCCUGGAAAUUGAGGUGGCCGUAGCGCUCGUGCCAGCGCCAUGCCACAUCUCCGACACGCGCAGUGAGACACACCGGCGCAGCAAUCUUCAUGUCGAGGAGGUAAAGCCGGCUUGGGGACCGGUGUACCUUCGCCAGCAGUUGACGCUGCUGGUCGUAGAGGCGCAGUACGCCCCCCUCGAUGUUGACCUUGAAGCCGUCCUCGUCCAUUUGGCCGAGGCUAAUGAUGCUGGUGGUGAGGCGAGGAAUGUAGUAGACGCCGUCUAGCAGACGAUGCUCGCCGGUCUUGCAGACGAACAACACCGUCCCCUUGCCUUGGAUCUCAACCACCGAGCCGUCCCCGAACCUGACGGUCCCCGUGACGCCUGCAUCCAGCUCGGCGAAAAUGGAGCGUGUACCCGUCAUAUGGUUCGUCGCCCCGGUAUCCAACACCCAGCGACGAGAGACCACACUCUCCUCCUCUUGGCUGAGGUGGAGGUGCACCUUUGGUUCAUCGAGGUGGAGCGGCGACCUAACAUGAGAACACGUUAUGGCCGGCGUUUUUACCUCAAUGUCAGCGGCGAUGUACAUGAGCGCGUGCUCAUCUUCCUCAGCCUGCGCGACGUGCGCCGCGCCUUUCUUCUUCCCGCGACAGUCUUUGGCCCAGUGGCCCUUCUUGCCGCAGUUAUUGCAGAGGGUGCCAGGCAGUGGCUUCCCACCACCGGCGUUCCCGUUCCUCGCGUUCUGGCCGUCAUGGCCAUCACGUGGUGUGCACCCUGCGCCGCCACGACCGCGUCCGCGCCCUUGGCGCUUGCCGCGGCUGCUGGAGCUCAUGCCGCCACCGGAGCUCUCCUGAUCACGGCGUGCCUUGCGAUGAGCCUCCCAGUCUUCCUCGCAGAGCAUCAGGCGCCCCAUAGCAUCCGUGAUCUCCUUUGGCUUGGCCCGUUCCUCGAACACGCGCAGCCGCCCGAUGACCUCCUCGAUCGACACUCUGUUCAGAUCGAGGAACAUCUCGAGGGAGACCGCGGCCUGGGACAGCCGAUCUGGGACCACCUGCAACAAUUUCUUCACUACCUCGGCGUCCGUGAUGUUGUCACCGAGGGUGCGUAGGUUGGUGGCGAGUGUCGUGAUGCGGAUCCCGAACUCGGUGACGCCCUCGCCCUCCUUGAAGGUGAGGAUGCCGAAUUCGCGGCGAAGCUGCUGCGCGCUGGCGUCGCGCGCGCGAUCGUCCCCGAUCCGCAACACCUUGACCGCGUCCCAUGCCUCCUUCACGGUCCGCUUCCGGGCGAGGGUGCUCCACAUCUCGGAUGGAACCGAGCGCAGAAGGCCGGCCAUCGCCUGGCGAUCGUCGUGGUAUUCGUCUUCGUCGGGGUCGUCGUUGAUGCCGAGAUCGACGGCGUCCCAGACGCGGAGGGUCUGGAAAUUGACUUCCAUGACCAGCGCCCAUUCUGGAUAAUUCGUCCGGGUCAGCAUCGGCCACGCGACGUUCGCGGACGGCCGCUCGAUGAUGCGCUCGACGACGCGCGAACCAUCCCGGUUGCGCGAUCGGCGGCCUUGGGAGCGGCCACGGCGACGUGGCGGCGAAUGCGACUGCUGGACCUUCUUCUCGCCGGAGCCAUCACCCGUCUCCCUCUUGACCGGAGACUUCGACGACAUGGCGACGGCGAGAAUCGGCUCUGAUGCCAAAUGACAGAACUCCGAAUAUACGUACACGAACACGAAGUGGCCAAUGAGAAUUGGUGCUGCAAGCGGCAGCGUUCUGGUGUUCUCUAUUUCUAUAUAAAGAAGAUACAUGCAGCUCUACAUGGUUACUAAAUCACGGCACGCUCGUGAUCGGCUCCUGCCAGCCGUCGACGACGGGAACAAUACCCUGCUCGACUUCCGCGCCUUCCUGCGGUCCGCCUUCUCGCUGCUGCCGGUGCCGGCGCCCAUGGUGGCGGCGAAGCCGAGGCUGAUGCUGGUGGACCGGCACAAGACGCGCAGGUUCGUGAACACGCCGGAGAUCUGGUGACCGUGGAGCCGCGGCACAGCAGCGGCGAGGGCGCCGCCGCGGAGGAGCUCUCGGCGCUGGCCCGCCUCGCGGACUCGUGCGACGUGCUGGUGGGCGCGCACGGCGCGGGGCUGACGCACCUCCUGUUCCUCCGCUCCGGGUCCGUGGUCGUCGAGGUGGUGCCGUACGGCCUCGCCGGGGUGGCGUCCACGUACCGGGACUUCUUCGAGCGGCCGGCGCGGGCGCUGCGGCUCCGGUACGUCGGCUACGACUCUACGAGGUGGCCGCGGAGGAGAGCACGCUGCUGGAGAGGUACGGCGCGGCGCACCCGGUGAUCAGCGACCCCGUGGGCGUGUACCGGCGCGGCGAGGCGGAGGGGAAGCCCUACGCGUUCAGGCACUACUGGAACGAGCAGGACAUCCGGCUCAACGUCACCACCAGGUUCGGCGCUGUCCUGGCGAGGGGCGUCGGCACGUCGUCGCCCAUCGGCGACGGCUCAAGUAGUGCGUGCCGGUCGAGGCCCUGGUAUUCCACAGUGUCCUAUUGUUGUGCCACCGAAAUGCCAAAGCCCUCGAAUAGUCAAAUGCGUUCCUUGUUUGUAGCAUGUUUUAGCACGGCAAUGACUGGAUGGAUCUUACUCCAAGAUUCAAACUAUUAUAAGACCGUCUCCAAUAGUAUAAGUCAGCUGAUAGCUCAUAGUUAAUGUUGGUCUCAUAUACAUGGUAGGCUGGUUAGAUCGUGUUAUGAGGGAGAAUUGCAUUGAAAAGUGAGCGAGACUAGCUUUUCACUUGCUAGUCUCGUACUUAUCGCACUGUUUUAACUAGUAAAAAAUUGAUUGAGCUAGCUCUAAGCUAGACUAUUGGAGAGGCAGCACAGAAGGAAUUCAACACAAUAACGCUUAAUUUUUUAGAGGUGGUAGUGGUAGGCAACUAGGCAUAGGCAACUAGAACAUCAUGUUUAGCCCCUAUAGCUGCUUUGACAUUUGCUGGAAACUUUAGAGGUAAGGAUUUUUUUUUGUGUUCUUUCAAUUUGGCUGUGAUUUGGGAGCGAUAGAUUUGUCAAGAGCACAUUCCCCAAACCACUUUAUCACCUAAGCUCAUUAGAUUUGGAUUUCUAAAAAAACUAAUCAUUUGGUACCCCUCAAAACAUUGUGAGCGUCUAUCGUCUGUACAAUGUCACAAGCGCACACACACUCAACCUUAUGAAUACACGCACGUAACCCUACCCAUAUGAGCACAUCCAAAAGACUGAGCUGGCAGAUACUCAAGAUUGACGAAGUCACCACUGGUACCUCGCUAUUACUUGGCACGUCGCCUACUAUUAAUAAUUGCCAUACGACCCUAUGAAGAUCACAUGCAUGUUGCUCAACAGUGGUUCCUUGUCAAGUGGCCGAGCUGUAUCUUGGCCUACCGCUAUCGGUCUAUCGGUACUUCACUGUAAAGAAAGUUGUGGAAAGCAGACAUCCAACCACUAAUGGAUGUAGUUGCGGACUAAAGUUGCUGACUUGAAAAUCGGGUCUCCUGCUCCUCUGGAGGGCAGCUUACCUUAACGAACACGAAUCUCACCUUGAUCACGGUCUUCACUAUGUCGAUCCUCUUACCAGGGUGGGCUAUCAAGGCGAUCGGCAAGCUUCCUUAGGCAUUUCUGUGGCGGGGCUCAGAAGUUGAGUUGGACGGACAUUGUCUAGUGACAUGGCCACGAGUUUGUAAACCUCCGGAGCUUGGCGGCUUAGGUCAGUUCAACCUCAAGAUUCUAGGUUGGGGCUUGCCAACUCGCUGGGCAUGGCUCAAACAUAUUUUGAUUUUUCUAGAUAUAUGGUAUAUCUAGAUGCAUAGUAUAAAUCACGUACCAAAAAAAUCAAAACGAAUUGUAACUUACAACAUAAGGAGUACAUAACAUAACCGUGGUUUGACUUGCCGGCAACAAAUGAAAAGGAGAUGGUCGCUUUGUUUGACCCUUCACUUAUGUCGUUGUGAAUCGUCAUUACUAUUUUGGAUGGACUGUUGGUUUGAUGGUUGUUCGGUUGCACAAGUGGCACCAAACACUAUGCAAGCUAUUAGAUGGGUUCGGGAUAUAGGGGCUCUCAUGGUGCAAGUACUAGCAGAGCAUUUAAGAUUGUAGGACCAAAUGCAGGAAAUCUAUCCAUCUCACUCCAAACACCGUUGGCCACUUUUGUGCAUAUUGCAAAUUGCCUACUAGCAUAGUACUAUCUCCAUUUCAAAUUCUAAGUUAUUCCAACUUUCUUGAAAAGUCAAACUAUUUUAUGUUUGAUCAAAAUUAUAGAAAGGAUCACAAAAGUGUACGGGGCGUGGACUGGAAGGCUGCAGCGGUCGAGCAGACCGCGGACGAAGGUGUCGACCGUAGAGGACGGUAGGCUCGGGUGGAACGGGAAGAAAAGGUAAGGAUGAGAAUGAAUAACACGGGAGCCGUUUGAUCGCAAUCUAACAGCCAAUAUCAGUGACUGACGGAAAACCAAAAAAUCAAUCGACUGGCAAGGAGACACAUCCAAAAAAAAGUUACUCAUUCUUUUAUCUGUAUGCGAGCAUAAAUUAACUUUGGUUUUGGUUGAAGAAGUUGACCAAUAGAGUCCAUGUACUACAAGUAAGGACUCCAGAUGGGAGGAACCAUUCCCACUGAACUCAAGCUUUUUUUUUCUUAUUGAAUAUGCAAAAGAGUUGUGCAUCUUUGUAUUAAGAAAGGAGUACCGACGUUACAACAAUGCGCAAUGGAAGCAUGUGCCGAGAAAUUAAGGUGCUAUUACAAAACAAAACAACCAGAGGAUCGGAGGGAGGGAAACACAGCUAAUCCUGAGCCAACUUACUCGCUAAAGAGGCAAAACCCAGGUUUUUUUCUCCCGCCAUGAUCCAAAGUUGGCCCUCCAUCUUGAUCUGCAUGAGCAGCUGGCCGAUCUGCAUAUGCUCUCCACGGAAAAUAUGUGCGUUGUGCUACUUCCAAACCCUUCAUGUUUUUUUUCUAAGAUGUGCAUAGCAUGUUUUUCAUUAAGAAGAAGAGAGAGUUACAACGAUGCAAAAGACCCCAAAUCACAGAGUUACAAAUUACAAAAACCACCACUUGCGACCAGCAAUAGAGAUACAACAAUAGAAAAGGAGGCUACAACACCACCACCACACCCAACACGACCUAAGAUGACUCAAACCUGCAAGAGAUAAGGACACCAUGAACACAAGCACAUCACCGAUUGCCUAACAACCCGGAGCUAGCGAAGGUAGAGCGAGAAUGUCAUGAUGAUGCCUCCAAGGGGGAAGCGACGUCGAUGCCGCCAUCGUCCGUCUGUCCAUGGAGGAGCAAACUAAGUCUUCACCUGGCAAAACCAAAUGGAUUUGGUGGUCGCAACAACGCUCCCAGUGAGGUGAGCUACAUUAAGGAACGCAACCAUUGUUGGCACCAACGAAUGUUGGGCAAAGCUUUCGCUCAGGCUCCCAAAACCAACUCCACGCAACAAACCACCAAGGGUUGGAUGAAAGCCAAAUCGAUGGGAUGGCCACGAGCAAUCCACGAUGAUGACUAUGGGGAACAUCCGCAGGCUAGCGACCGCCAUCACGACGACCCAAAGACGACCAAAGCGAUCGCGAUGACCAAAUUAAAAGACAAUCAUGGGGGAGAAGGGUGGAGCUGAUGCCCUCCCUCCUUCCAGCAACACUUGACGGCGACGUUUGGGGACGACUCGUUGAAGCGGCAACCCGAACACCAUGGAGAGGAUGAAGACCCAUCCUCCCAAUCCUACCAGCGAAGAAGAUGGCUGGAGGGGGCAUGGCCCCAUGAGUGACAACCGGGAGCAACCCAAGAGCGAGCGCCACUGCCGUAGGGUGGAAGGAGAGGGGAGCGAGGGAGAUGACCAAGAGGCAGUAGGGAAGAAUGACUACGGGGCCACUGGAGCACCCUUGGGCGAUUUGGUAACCGGCGGCCCGAAGCUGCCCAUGCCACUGGAGGAAGAGCGGGGGUGUGGGGUGCGGUAGCCGAGGGGGAGAGGUAGAGAGGGAAAAAAAAGGAGCGACCUUGGGCCACGCCGAUGCCACUGGAUCGUGGAUCCUGCAUCGGUGAGAGGGAUCUGGUGACCGGCGGGCCAGGAGACCGCCACCACUAGUCGGCAGGCAGUCCUCCAAGCCGCAGGCGUCGGGCGCCGUUCCCUAUCGCCCCACCAUAGGAGCGCUAGGGGACAAGGGUGUCGACGGCAGGGGCGGCCACAAGAGGGCGAGACCGCGGGCCAGGUCGCAGCAAGAGCGUGGCGGCCCCGACCUGCUGGUGCGUGCACGCACGGCGAUGCCAACCGCAACCUGCCCGUCGCAGGCGCCUAUGCUAGGGCGUCCACCGCAGAUGUGCCGGCGAAGGGGCGGAGAUCUGCCACCAAGCACAGAGGAGACGAAUCCCGACCAUGAGAGCGCAGAUCCAAGGCCAGGGCAGGUGGAUCCAGCGGGGAGGGCCUCAGCACUACCUUGGUGGCGGCUAGGGUUAGGGCGAGCGGAGAGCGACCUUGGCGCGAUGGGGUUGAAGGGAGGAGAGGGAGAGGGAAGGGGAUAAGGGAGGGGCGUGCGCAGCUGCCGGCUUCGACGCCACUGCCAGGCGGCCUGGGCGAGCCUCUAGCGGCGCGGGAUAGGAGCCCCCGAGUCGCCCUCGGGAGAGAGCGACACGAGGGCCAAACCCUUCAUGUGACGAGAGCAAAGAGUAGAUCGAAUCCUUUCUUCUCCGAUUGCCACAAGCAUCUCACUUGUCUCUACCAGUCCUCCAUCGCAGGGGUGAACCUAGGAAAUGGUUGGGAGGGAGGCUGAUCCUAGCUUAUGAGGAGCUCAAGUGUUUUUCAUCUUUAGUUUUUGCAUAAUUUUGCUUGGAGCUCUGUUGAUUUUUAGACCAUGGACCCAGGCUGCAGCUCGGGUCCUGGAUCUGCCACUGCUCCAUCGUGUCGUGCUCAUGGUGGGAUGGAAACCGGCGACCCAAAGCAGCAAUGAUCGUUGCCCAAACCGGAAUCCCUCUGCAGUCAAGUUCAUGAACGUAUGUCUGCAGUCACGUUUCAUCGUCCUGCCUUGUGAAUUCGAAAGAGCAAUGCGUGAACAGGUGAUUACUUGUUUCCGGCUCCUGAUCGCAAAUAUCUCGGUUCGUGCACACUUCAUCGCAGACAGCACCAGCAGUGCAUGUGGUCGCACCGACGCCGCCAUGGACGCAUCCCUCGCUGCUUGCGCCGCACCUAUUCGAGUACGUGCUGACCUCCGAGGCUCCUUGGUCGCUCCACCGGCGGCUGAGCUCGGGCAGGCGCCUAGGGUCGCCGCUCCUGAAUGGCUUGAGACUUGACCUAUUAACAAAUCAGCUCUCUUUCCAUAAAGAUUGAUGAUAUGGCUCCACCGGCGGAAGCAUUUACCUGCUCGAGAGGCAUGGCCCGUGCGUGUUCUAUGUGAUGGCGCGAGCUUUGUUAGGAGCACUAGUUCAUUGGGUCACUGUAAUAAUCUUGCAAAUAGUCUAAGACACUUCUUGUAUUUUUUUUAUAAAGACGACACAUCUAGUUAGGACUUAGGACUACCAUGAGAGACAAGCAAGUACCUGAGUCAUUUGUUCUUCCUGUACGACUCCAAUAUUAGCUACAUUAAUGGUGGAUCAGCCGAUCAGGUAAUGGUGUUUUGUGAAACAUUAUCUGCUCAGGAUAUUUGCAACAAGGUCUGAUGGAUGCCACUAUACCACAACCCCUCUAUACCGAUUGCAUUGGCGUCGGUAUAAGCCUAUGUACCGACCCACCAUCGGUCGGUAUAGAGUUAUACCGACUCCUCAUAGCAGUCACUGUAAGUGGUGUACCAACCGAUAUCGCUAUAUCGACAUGCUCCCUGGAGAUGCAUAUACACCGAGUGAUAGUGGGUUACAGGUUUUUACCGGCCAACAGUUUAAAGAUAUAAAUUUCUAUACCGACUAACAAUCCAAUGCUAAUCAUUCAUAUGAACCUAGAAAAUUAUAUAUAUAAUAAUAACCUCACACUAACCGUCCAAUAUCAAUCUUUUGAACAUUACAUAUGAAACAGUUAGCUAGACAGAGCUCAUAGAUUUGAAGCUAACAGACAUCAAACACACAAGUGAACAUAUAUAACUUAGUUUUCAUUGAAGACAACAGCAUUUGUCUUGCCACUAAGCUCAGUCAACCUCAUAUAUUUGGCUUGUCACAGCUUACAGUUCAAGCAAACAGCCACAUUAAAAAAAGAAGAGAGGCAGCCAACCUAGACCAAAUCAGUCUCUACACAGCCAUAAGUUUGGCUUGUCACAACACACAUGUGAUGUUUGGCUACACAAUUACGCAAACUCAUCACAUGACACAACAAAAAUGUCUCAAAUCUGUCCAAAACAAAAUAGCAUCGGCGAGCACUGAUCCGCUUGCCACCGACAAACUUUGUAAACUUUGACAUUCAAAAAUGUUUUGAACAAACCAUUGUUUUCAGUUCUUUCCAAAUACAUCUUUCUUGAACUAUAUUAGAGAGGUACUACUCUGCUUGGAAAAGAAUGUUUAUUUUUAAAGAGGCAACCGACAAGAUUUGCCGCACAUAUAUUGACAGAGAAGGAACAACUUACAAAUCUUUGAAAAAGGAAUAACUUACAACAAGAUAAACAGACAAGACAAGCCACCAUAACAGGGCACGACUAACCGACAAAUCCACUACUGCAAUGACAGCGAAACCACUGCUGCAAUGGCCUGAUUAUCAUGGAUCUGCUCCCUGACAUUUUUAGGGAGUUUCCCUAUACUGCUUGUUACAUAUAAAUACUUGAAGUUUGUUUUACAUGUAGAUACUCGAAGUUUACGUGUACAUUUGAACAUAUCCGUUUGAGCUCCUCCACAAGCGGAUGGCGAGGCAUGGAAGGGGAAGUCAUCAAAUAAAGAGGAAGUCAUGAAAUAAAGCGACAAUGUUUCUGUUCCGGCACACAGCACACUACACUUGCCAUGCACCACAUCACACCCAAGGCGAAACGACCAGACCGAAACAUAACGUGCUAACAAAAGCUCAUCAUCAAUUAGACAAUUAUUACAGAGAAUGAUUGGUUAGCUUUAAAAUCAUGUCGAGUUUUGCCGAUUAAAUGCUAGUAGGUCCAACUACCGGUUCUGGUGGCUGCUCCAUCAAUCAGGAUUGUGUGCGGAGGCUGUAGGAGAUAGAACGUAAAGGCUGUGUCCAUAUUUUCGACUGCAUGGCCGACCAUCCUACUCAUCCUUAUCAUGUCUCAUAGCAAUAUUUUAAGGAACAACGAGGGGCCAGCGGCCCACCUGAACUUCUUCUCAUUGCAACGAAAGGGAGGGACGAACCCAAGUACAGCAAGCAAAUAAGCAUACAAAAGGAAGGCGGAAAGCUAGAGUUAAUUUACAUUUGCCAAGGAGCGGCACCAGGACGAUAAGGCUCCUGAAAGGGAGAUGAGUUUAUCCCAUAACACUCAUCAGUCCUUAUAAAUAUGAUAGCAGGACCUGAAUGUAAGUCGUGCAGAGCCAGAGCCGUGCGUGUUGGCCAAUUGGGAGGUAGAGACGACGCAGAACAAUGGAGGCCGCUGCCGCCAAGCUCGUCAUCAGGGAGAAGAUCACGGGCGCCACCGCGGCCGUGUUCGCGGGCUCCGUCGAGAUCCCCGAGAAGUUCAUCAGGACCACGGAGGUCCAGGAAGCCGGUGCCGUCGUCAGCGAGGACGAGGUGUUCGAGCUACCGGUGGUAGACAUGGCAAAGCUUCUUGAUCCGGAGCUGUCGGCGUCAGAGACGGCAAAGCUUGGCUCCGCGUGCAGAGACUGGGGUUUCUUUCAGGUUAGGACGAUCCUACAUAUACAUGUAUCCAGAAUAUAGAUGAAAUCCUUCCUUUUCUUUCUGCCAGCUAACACACCAUGGGGUAGACGAAGCCGCGAUGCAGCAGAUGAAGGACAGCGCCGCGCAGUUCUUCGGCCUGCCACUGGAGAGCAAGAACUCGGUUGCAGUACGAGAUGGUGGUUUCCAAGGAUUUGGCCACCAUGUGAACGCGUCUUCAGGCGAUAAGAUAGACUGGGCGGAGAACAUGUUCCUCUUCACGGAGCCAGUCCAAGACAGGGACAUGGACUUGUGGCCUGCGAACCCACCCACAUUCAGGUGUGUCAAUUUUCUUUUCCGGUUGUUCUGAUUAGAUUUAAUUCAUGGCAUUGAUCGAUUCUCGUCGACCUGCUCCCUCGAUCCUAGGCAUGCCCUCGACAGCUACUCCGUCGAGAUCAGCAACCUUGCAAGGCGCCUGCUGGGAUUCAUGGCAACUGAUCUUGGAGUCAGUCAAGAGGCGCUCCAAGGGGCUUUCUUCGGCGGCGGCGACGCAGACGACGACACCGGGAGGCAGCCGAAGCAGCAGUGCACGGCCAUGCACUAUUACCCUCCGUGCCGUCACCCGGAGAAGGUGCUGGGCUCACUGCCACACACCGACACCCUG